CCAUGAACAACGCAAAAUACAUGCGAGACUUAAAAGCAUUUUUAGUCGAGAUUUCGUAUCCAUGAGCCUGAAAAUCGUCUGUCUCAGCAGAGAGCAAUUUCAGAGGGUCUUGGGUGCCGUGCCCUCCUGUGUCUCCAUCUGGAGUCCGUGGAAGGGAUGGCAAUGACCAACUGUACAG
rnacentral:sRNA from 1 species